rnacentral:rRNA from 1 species
UACGUAGGGGGCUAGCGUUGUCCGGAAUCAUUUGGCGUAAAGCGCGUGUAGGCGGUCCGUUAAGUCCGCUGUGAAAGUCGAGGGCUCAACCCUCGAAUGCCGGUGGAUACUGUCGGGCUUGAGUACGGGAGAGGCGAGUGGAAUUCCUGGUGUAGCGGUGAAAUGCGCAGAUAUCUGGAGGAAAACCGGUGGCGAAGGCGGCAUCCUGGACCGGUAUUGACACUGAGGCGCGAAAGCCAGGGGAGCAAACGGG